rnacentral:rRNA from 1 species
CAGACGAACGCUGGCGGCGUGCUUAACACAUGCAAGUCGAACGAUGAAGCCCUUCGGGGUGGAUUAGUGGCGAACGGGUGAGUAACACGUGGGCAAUCUGCCCUUCACUCUGGGACAAGCCCUGGAAACGGGGUCUAAUACCGGAUAACACCGGCUUCUGCAUGGAAGCUGGUUGAAAGCUCCGGCGGUGAAGGAUGAGCCCGCGGCCUAUCAGCUUGUUGGUGGGGUAAUGGCCUACCAAGGCGACGACGGGUAGCCGGCCUGAGAGGGCGACCGGCCACACUGGGACUGAGACACGGCCCAGACUCCUACGGGAGGCAGCAGUGGGGAAUAUUGCACAAUGGGCGAAAGCCUGAUGCAGCGACGCCGCGUGAGGGAUGACGGCCUUCGGGUUGUAAACCUCUUUCAGCAGGGAAGAAGCGAAAGUGACGGUACCUGCAGAAGAAGCGCCGGCUAACUACGUGCCAGCAGCCGCGGUAAUACGUAGGGCGCAAGCGUUGUCCGGAAUUAUUGGGCGUAAAGAGCUCGUAGGCGGCUUGUCACGUCGGGUGUGAAAGCCCGGGGCUUAACCCCGGGUCUGCAUCCGAUACGGGCAGGCUAGAGUGUGGUAGGGGAGAUCGGAAUUCCUGGUGUAGCGGUGAAAUGCGCAGAUAUCAGGAGGAACACCGGUGGCGAAGGCGGAUCUCUGGGCCAUUACUGACGCUGAGGAGCGAAAGCGUGGGGAGCGAACAGGAUUAGAUACCCUGGUAGUCCACGCCGUAAACGUUGGGAACUAGGUGUUGGCGACAUUCCACGUCGUCGGUGCCGCAGCUAACGCAUUAAG